rnacentral:rRNA from 1 species
UACGAAGGGGGCUAGCGUUGCUCGGAAUUACUGGGCGUAAAGGGCGCGUAGGCGGAUAUUUAAGUCGGGGGUGAAAGCCCAGGGCUCAACCCUGGAAUUGCCUUCGAUACUGGAUAUCUUGAGUUCGGGAGAGGUGGAGUGGAAUGCCGAGUGUAGAGGUGAAAUUCGUAGAUAUUCGGCGGAACACCGAUGGCGAAGGCGGUACUCGGCUUGCC